AUCCUACGGGAGGCAGCAGUGGGGGAUAUUGCACAAUGGGGGAAACCCUGAUGCAGCGACGCCGCGUGAGUGAAGAAGUAUUUCGGUACGUAAAGCUCUAUCAGCAGGGAAGAAUAAUGACGGUACCUGACUAAGAAGCCCCGGCUAACUACGUGCCAGCAGCCGCGGUAAUACGUAGGUGGCAAGCGUUGUCCGGAUUUACUGGGUGUAAAGGGCGUGCAGCCGGGAGUGCAAGUCAGAUGUGAAAUCCCGCGGCUCAACCGCGGAACUGCAUUUGAAACUGUGCUUCUUGAGUGCUGGAGAGG
rnacentral:rRNA from 1 species